CAGGAUCUGUCCACGGCACCUUCUUAGCGAGCAGAGGCGCCUGCAGCUGCAGGGGGCGCCAAUUUGCCAAUUCCACAAUUCCACACACAGUGAUAUGAUAGAUCAGUGGUUCCCAAACUUUUUACAGUCCCGUACCCCUUCAGACAUUUAAUCUCCAGCUGCCCGGUUCGCCCGUGCCUAAAACCGCCCCCGAGUUCAGCUACAGCAUCAGCUGCACAGGCCAGUUCAGCUACAGCAUCAGCUGCACAGACCAGUUCAGAGGCACACAAAGCACCAGCUCCACAGACCAGGUCACCACAGAGAGCACCAGCUACACAGACCAGGACACCACAGAAAGCACCGGCUCUGUGUAGACUUAGUGAGUUGGAAUCAAUUACAGGCACCACACACAUACACAUCACAGGCACCACACACAUUCAUACCACAGGCACCACACACAUCACAGGCACCACACACAUUCACAUCACAGGCACCACACACAUUCACAUCAGAGGCACCACACACACACACACACAUCACAGGCACCACACACAUUCACAUCACAGGCACCACACACAUCACAGGCACCACACACACACAAAUCACAGGCGCCACACACAUUCACAUCACAGGCACCACACACAUUCACAUCACAGGCACCACACACAUUCACACCAGCACACAGCACCCUGCAUGGACAUGCUGCUGUGGAGUUCCAGGAACCGGAAAACAAUGAGGGUGAGGCAGUGAUUCACAGACGUCGCAGUGCCAGAGCAGUGUUAUCUACUGACACACACACACACUGGAGGACCCGCACUGGGCACCGGGCACCAGCUCCACCCAAGCAGCACAUGACUGGUGCACAGCACUAUCCUGGGUGGGACCUUGCCUACUGUCAACAGGGUCAACACUCAGCUCCAACACCUCACCCUCAGGGCUGGUCCCCUUACCAGCCCUCACCAGCUCCAACACCAGCGUCUCCUUCUCAGGGCUGGUCCACUUACCAGCCAUCACCAGCACAAGCUCCUCAAAAUCGGCACCGCGAGUGGAGACGGCGAAGGGCAGCUCUUGAGGAUCAGGAGCGGGUGGAAAGAGGAGAGCCCCCAAAGAAGCGACACACCAAGGAAAAGUACCACUAUGAGUGCAAGAUUUGUGGUCAGUCCAACACAAAAGACACUGGCCAUACCCAGCUACGGGGAAA
rnacentral:lncRNA from 1 species